rnacentral:lncRNA from 10 species
AGAGUGUCACUCUGUCCCCCAGGCUGGAGUGCAUGGUGCGAUCUCGGCUCACUGCAACAUACGCCUCCCAAGUUCAAGCGAUUCUCCUGCCUCAGACUCCUGCAUAGCUGGGAUUACAGGCACCCGCCAUCAUGCCCAACUAAUUUUUGUAUUUUUGGUAGAGAUGGGGUUUCACCAUGCUGGCCAGGCUGGUCUUGAACUCCUGACUUCAGGUGAUCAGCCCACCUCAGCCUCCCAAAAUGUUGGGAUUACAGGUGUAAGCCACCGUGCCCAGCCU